GAGGAUGGCCCAAUUAUAAUCGGAGAGAACAACAUCAUUGAGGAACUUGUCCAGAUCAUCAAUAGGAAUCCAGAUGGAAAAACUAACACAACACAGCAAGUGAUGAUAAUUGGUAACAACAAUGUGUUCGAAGUGGAUUCCUAUGUAGAAGCAACAAAAAUUGGAGACCACAAUGUUGUAGAGGCAAAAGCGAGGGUUGGUCGGCAAGUAGAGCUGACCUCGGGCUGUAUUAUUGGGUCAAAGUGUGAGGUUUCCAGUUGUGAAGUCCUGCCUGAAAACACGAUCAUUUACGGCUCAGAGUGUCACCGCAGGGUCGCCGCAGAUAAACCGCCAGCGCAGUCUCUACAGAUUGACUUCCUCGCCAAGAUCUUACCCAAUUACCAUUACCUGAAAAAGAUCAAGGCAGGAACUCCACAGAGAAAAUAGGGGAUUUUUUCCAAUUCAAUACAUUAGUGCAAUAUUUUCUGUUUCCUUGGAGCUUGGGUCCGCCACCUCUUGAUUUUCUGCUGAAGCUUGCUCUUUCUACAAUAGAACAUGUGUCACAUGUGUGUCACACAGACACUGCACUGCAGGAACAUUCACUACACAAGUGUGAAUGCCUUUGAAUGUAAAUUCAGGUGGUACAACCCUUUGAUAGGAAAGAGAACUCUUGACUGAAUUUUUCAAAUCAAGAGAUUAUUUCAGUCAAAUGUACAUGUCUUCUAAAAUUGAAAUAAAAUUAUGAAUGGAUUUCUGUCAAGAUUUGGUCUUACAAGUUACAUGUAAGUUAAGGUUGUGUGCAUUCCUAUUGUAAUUUAGAUAUCGAUUUCUAUUGAAAAUUUAUGGCACUAAUGCAAAAUUUUAUAGCGGAUGAAAUUACCUUAAUAUGAGAGAGAGCAAACCGUUAUAGAUAUUUAUUUGUUUGUGGGAAAAAUCAUACGGUUCAAGAAUUCAUCUCCGGUUAAAUAUUUUUUUUUUCUUCUGUUUAUCCUUAUUUAGGAUAAGCUUAUGUACAUGUAUAUUUAUUGUCAAUAUAGAAAAAUCUCAAUUCAGAUGAGGUAAAAAUCGAUUAAUUAAUGUGGAAUGAAAGAUCCAGAAUUUUCUAUGCUUUAUUGAUAAUCAAGUACACUUGUUUAUUAAGCCAAAAUUGGACACUACUGACAUUGUUUGGUUAAAUUAUUAUGGCUCUUUUUUUGUUGUGGGAUGUUUCCUUAAAUUAUGAACCCUUUUAACCAAUUAUGGACCAAUUUCAAUGUAGGAGACUGGUAAGUUGGCUGAUCUUAACUGACAGAUUAGACAAAUGUUGCAGUUUGUUAAGUAGCGGUUUAAGGUCAUUGGCAUUUGUUAACAUGAACAUGUAUAUAAUUAGGUAUUUAUUCAUGUAGAAGUCAAAAUAAAAUAAGUAAA
rnacentral:misc_RNA from 1 species